rnacentral:rRNA from 1 species
GAUGAACGCUGGCGGCGUGCUUAACACAUGCAAGUCGAGCGAGAAGUUUUGAAAAGAUUCUUCGGAUGAAAUUUAAAAUGGAGAGCGGCGGACGGGUGAGUAACGCGUAGGCAACCUGCCCCAUACAAAGGGAUAGCAUUUGGAAACGAAUAUUAAUACCUUAUGAAACUUAACUAGUGCAUGCUAGGUAGGUCAAAGAUUUAUCGGGAUGGGAUGGGCCUGCGUCUGAUUAGCUAGUUGGUGAGGUAACGGCUCACGAAGGCGACGAUCAGUAGCCGACCUGGGAGAGUGAACGGCCACGUAGGAACUGAGACACGGUCCAAACUCCGACGGGAGGCAGCAGUAGGGAAGAUUGCACAAUGGAGGAAACCCUGAUGCAGCAACGCCGCGUGAACGAUGAAGGCCGUUGGGUCGUAAAGUUCUGUUCUAGGUGAUGAAAACUGACAGUAACCUAGGAGAAAGCCCCGGCUAACUCCGUG